CAGUCGCCGCGGUAAUACAGAGGGUGCGAGCGUUAAUCGGAUUUACUGGGCGUAAAGCGUGCGUAGGCGGCUUUUUAAGUCGGAUGUGAAAUCCCUAAGCUUAACUUAGGAAUUGCAUUCGAUACUGGGAAGCUAGAGUAUGGGAGAGGAUGGUAGAAUUCCAGGUGUAGCGGUGAAAUGCGUAGAGAUCUGGAGGAAUACCGAUGGCGAAGGCAGCCAUCUGGCCUAAUACUGACGCUGAGGUACGAAAGCAUGGGGAGCAAACAGGAUUAGAUACCCCAGUAGUCCCUGUCUCUUAUAC
rnacentral:rRNA from 1 species